rnacentral:rRNA from 1 species
AUACGUAGGGGGCGAGCGUUGUCCGGAAUUAUUGGGCGUAAAGGGUUCGCAGGCGGUCUGAUAAGUCAGAUGUGAAAGGCAAUGGCUCAACCAUUGUAAGCAUUUGAAACUGUCAGACUUGAGUUAAGGAGAGGAAAGUGGAAUUCCUAGUGUAGCGGUGAAAUGCGUAGAUAUUAGGAGGAAUACCAGUGGCGAAGGCGACUUGCUGGUAUGAUACUGACGCUGAGGAACGAAAGCGUGGGGAGCAAACAGGAUUAGAUACCCUGGUAGUCCACGCCGUAAACGAUGAGUGCUAGGUGUUGGGGGUCAAACCUCGGUGCCGCAGCUAACGCAUUAAGCACUCCGCCUGGGGAGUACGUACGCAAGUAUGAAACUCAAAGGAAUUGACGGGG